UUCAACUUAGGUCUGAAAUAUUUACGAAAGAUCAAGGGUAAUAUUGUAAUUUUUAAAAUAAUAAAAGUAUUUUCGAGAUAGUUUUUUGUAAUUUAAGCAUAAAACUAAAGAGAGCCACUUUUAUUAUAAAUUAGAAAGAGAAGAAGAGUAUGAAAUUUAGCAUAAGGGAAAAAGAUGAGAGAAAACAGAGAGAGAGAAGGUGCAUGAAGAGCAAGAUGGAGAAGCAGGGCACGUGCUGUACUAACUCAAUUUCUCAAAUACAUUUCAAAAAAUCCCAACUUUUUUUUUUUUUUCCUUAAUGUUUGUAAGAAGAGAUUUGAAAUUUGGAAGAGGAAAAAAAUGGGUUUUUUAUUCUUUUUUUUUUUUUUUUUUUUUUGGGGGGGGGGGGGGAUUUUGGCUUUUGAGUUAGUUCUUCAUGUGCCCUUCUUCACCAUCAAGACCACUGCAUCUUAAUUAAUGGAAAUUUGCUUCUGCUUCUGCUUCUGCUUCUUCAUUCAGCACUUAAUUUUUUGUUUUCAGGGAGCAACUACAUUAUCAUGGUCUCAUUCAAUAAUUUUCUCGAGAAGAAACAAGACGAAGAAAAGCGACAUCGUGGUUAAAUUCUCAUCGAUAGGAAACUUGGUACAACCAUUGAAGAGACAACCUCACUAUCAUAUACAUCCUUCUUCCAUAUGUGCCUAUUUCAUUCCCUCUUAUCUACGUCUCAAGAGAAAGUAAUUGUUGCUAUAGACAUGUUCUUUACUUUUGUUCUUGUUUUCUACGUUAAAUUAAAUAAAUAAAAAAGACACAAACAUGUUUCAAUUUUCCGACUCCUGCA